AAAUUAUUUAUUUGUGUUGUGUGAAUGAGCAAUGCCUAAGCGCCAAACUACAUACUUUGAUUGCAUAUAGCGGGAACUUUCCCCUCUUUUUCCAAACUCAAGUUUAGCUUCAACACUUAGACGAAAGAGUCUUUUUCCUUUUUUUUCGAGCCGUCUCCUCAAGGGAUCAGACCCAUCUCCCCAAUAAACUUUUCCCCAAUUGAACUCAAAUCACCAAACACCCAGACGUCUUCGUCUUUAGUUUUUCCUUGGUUUCCUUUUCGUUUCGAUUCACAGAAAUCCAAUCAAAGAUUACCUCCAUUACCAAAUUUCCUCCAAACCCUAAUUUCUCUGAAUCCCAAUUUCCUUUCAAUUUCGAACCACUCCCUCGUCGUUACCGGGCCGCCGUCCGGCUCCGAACUCUCGCCCAACUGCGUCAGGGUUGCAACUGCCUCUCCGAUCUAUCGCCGUUUCCACCACCUUCUCCUUCGUCAACAUCAGUACGACGAGCCCAGACCAAAAGAGGGAGAGAGAGUUCCUCUCGUCUCUCUAAUCACCUAAAUCCCUAAUCUUUUCUUCCCCCAAUUUUCCUUUCUUGGAGAAUCAGGGUUUCUCUGAUGCUACAGAAGAUCAGAAAUUGCAAAAUUGAAGAGGAAGAGGAGGAGCAGAGUUGAAUUGAAGUUUGGAGUGUUUUGAGUUUCGUUUGAUGGAAGGGGGGAGGAGGAUAUUGGCAAAUCCUUGGCCGUGUAGUGGUCGGAGGGUAGCAGCGGUGAGGAAACGACCCCGUAUUGGCGGUGUGAAUGGGGUUCGUUAACAGCGUUAAGAAGCUUCAACGAAGUGAAAUCAGUUCCAAGCGUGACCGAGCUAUCACUAUGAGCGAUGCCCGGGAGAGGUUUUACAAUAUUCAUCUCCAGGUACAAAUAUAUAGUUGCUUUUGAUUUUAAUGGAGGUGAAAAUUUGGGGCUUUCGAUGGUUUGGUGGUUGGAGUUUUAUGAAGAGCUCUGGGGUUUGUGCUGGUUUGGAUUUAAUUCAGUAGAAAAAACAAGUGAUGGGAUUUUGUUGUUAAUAUGCUUAUGUUACUUGUUAAUUGUUAAUUUUUAUUCCUGUGCUAAAUUCUUAGUGGUAUUAACGUGUUACAGGCUCUACUUAGGAUUUGCAUUUGGAGCUUUUUUUGUGUGAUAUUGAUACCAAUACUUGGAAAGCAUGUUGUAUAAUAAGGCUUAGGUGCUAGGUUGCAGUAGGAAGUUGUAAGUUUUAAGAUUGAAGUUUGGAACUUGUAUUCGGUUCUUUUAACAAUCUUAAUUUGUUGAAAAUCUUAAUGCACUUAAGCUUCAUUAGUCAUAAAAAUCGUUGUAAACUCUGAUAGAUAUAGACUACCUGUGCCAUGGUUCUGCCUUUUCUGCGAAAGAGGUAAAAAAUUAUUGAAAUUGUAGCAGCACGUGACAUUGUGUUUGCUCUUGCGCAGUCUAGUGUUUGUGCAGCGUUUAGCCGAGGUAGUAGCUGUUCUAUUUGGAUUUUCAAUGUUAUAUGGAUCUACUGAAAUAAGUUUUUACUUCCGGGAAGUUCAUGGAGGAUAUGCUUUUUGAAUGUUAAUCCCUGCGAAGUUAUAAGAAGCUUGUUUUAUAAUAAAAACAAUGACUCUCCAAUCACAAUUUCAGUUCUUUGAAAUGUAGAAACACUAGGAUUGAGUACGUGAAUACCUCCACCCCUCUGCCACUAACAAACAAACACAAUCACACACAUAACCUCUUAUAUUUCUAGUACAGUUCUCUUGGUCAUCUUUUUGUUCUUGAUUUAUCUAAUUUUUGUUUUCCAUUAUGAUCAGUAUAUACAUGGUGUUUGCUCUAAAAACUAUACAAUGUUGUACUCCAUAUCAGAUACACAUGUCCAAGAAAUUAAGAUUAGGUAAGCUUUCUUCACAUUCUCAAUGACAGACCCAUACAACGAUGGUUGUUUUUGCCUUUAGCCUUUGUUCUUUUGUUAUUUCAUAACUUGCACUUAUCUCUUUUUUUUUUGUUUUUUGGUUUGUUUUCUUGCUGCAGUCCGGGGAUCAUGUUGUUAUUGGUUAAUAUCAUUUAUGGUUAUUCGUCUUUCCUUGUAUGUCAGGGGAACUAUAUACUUGAUCAUUUAAUAACGUUCUGAUGCAGCAGGUACUGCCAAUUAUAGAGCUUUGUUCAAACUGCAGCAUAUUUAUUGAUAUGAAUUGUCAGCAACUGAAGAAAGUUUUUAAUUGAAAAAAAGAAAAACACAAACAUUGUAUUUUGAGAUGUGGUGUGUGUUCAAAUGGUUUAGUGGAUAUAGCCUUAUGACACAUAAUUAUCGGAAUAAUAGGAAUGGCCUUCUUGCAAAUACAUUACUUUUUGUCCUCCCAAUUACAAGUUUGUUUUGUUUGAAAUUGAUUGCAUACUUCAUACUCACUCAGAUUAGUUAGUUAUUGCAUAGUUUCACUGAGAACCAUGCGGAAAUUUGAACCCCUUGGAAUAACAGAUAUAAGCUGUUGGCUCUGUACUACGUAUUAUAGAUUUAUAGGUAUAUAUUGAAAUUGCUUAGGGUCAUAUGUUAUUAGUAAGGAAGAAUAUGUUUAUCAAAUCAUGGGCAGAGCCAUAAAUGGUGAAAAUAUGCUAUUGGAGAAGUACUAUUUAGUCAGUUAUUCAUCAGAAUUACUAAUAAAUAAUACAUUUUGCUCUGACAUCAGAGUAAUUUCUAAAGCAGUGGAAUAUUUUGGGUUUUUAACACAGGUCAGCAAGGCACUUCUUGCAGAGUUUAUGACAGCUCAAAAGAGAAGCAAACCAUUUAAAGCUUUGGGAUCAGAACAUAUGAAUAAACCUUCCCCUGUCAUUCCAUCUAACCUUACAAGUUCUACUCUCCAAAGUCUCGAAUUUCAGAUGGAUGCAUUUUGCUUAAGAGAGCGGGAUCUACUGAAUCGCUUUAUUAUGGAAGUGUCAUAACUACAAAAAUAGGGAGAAAGCAAAGAGUACUCGGUUCUUCUAGUGAGUAUUGUAGUGAGAAUAAAUCCAAUAACUGAUCGUUGUUUGUUUCUGCUGCAUAAUGUCUUAGCUACGUUGAGGACCUUGUAUGCAUUGAUUUGCUUGGAAGAGGAUGUGGCAUUCCUUUGAUACGGGUACUUAUCAACAGAUAUGGGAAAGAAGUAAGCAGCCUCUGCAGGGAGCUACUACCUCAUGCACUUGCCUUGAUCAUAUUGUUCAAAUAAAGGAUGGUGCAUAGUUGGUGCUGGAAAGGCAGGUGGAGAGCUAGAUUUGAUCCCACAUCCCACCACUUCCUCCAACCAUUUCACCCAAUGUGAAGCUAAAAGUCCUGAUUUCUCUCAAGUAUUAUGUACCAAUUCAUUAUCAAAGUACUAGGUCGAUCAUUUUACUUUUGGGUUGUUUAGUGAACAUAUGCCACUUUGGCUUGUUAGGUUUCAUGAUUGUGGAACAAUGACUAAUAUGAAUGCAUAUUGGUGGAUCCAUUUGAUGA